UACAGAGGUCCCCAAGCGUUGUUCGGAUUCACUGGGCGUAAAGGGUGCGUAGGUGGCCGGGUAAGUCUGAUGUGAAAUCUCCGAGCUUAACUCGGAAACUGCAUCGGAUACUAUUUGGCUCGAGGGUUGGAGGGGGGACUGGAAUACUGGGUGUAGCGGUGAAAUGCGUAGAUAUCCGGAGGAACACCGGUGGCGAAGGCGGCUUCCUGGACCGACACUGACGCUGAGGCGCGAAAGCUAGGGGAGC
rnacentral:rRNA from 1 species